rnacentral:lncRNA from 1 species
UGACAGAUUUUAUGUCAGUAGGUGACAUUUACUAGCAACUCGACGAGCUGAUAGACAAAACCAAGCAUCGGAAUCUGAAGCUAGGGGGUUUAAUGUGGGUUCCAAUGAAUAAUUUUAAACAAUAGCUUGUAUUUUAGUUGAGUGAUUAAUAAAUAAUUGUAUAAAAUGG